rnacentral:lncRNA from 1 species
GGCUUCUGAUCCAUUCCCUGCCGCAAAGGAACACUGGAAGAAAGAUGGACUCCUCCACAGAGACAGAAAGACCGAAAUCACGGAAAGAAAACAGACCUCAAGUUUCCACUCCCACCUGCCAGGUGGCCACUGGGUAACAAUCCCCUUUGUCUAUGUGUGACAGCAAAGUAAGGACACCUGGGCAGUGACUACAAACACAGACCCCAACCCCUACCCCCAGAGAAGACAGAGCCCUUGGAAAGAUUAUUAGCACGGCCC